rnacentral:rRNA from 1 species
GACGAACGCUGGCGGCGUGCCUAAUACAUGCAAGUUGAGCGCUGAAGGUUGGUACUUGUACCAACUGGAUGAGCAGCGAACGGGUGAGUAACGCGUGGGGAAUCUGCCUUUGAGCGGGGGACAACAUUUGGAAACGAAUGCUAAUACCGCAUAAAAACUUUAAACACAAGUUUUAAGUUUGAAAGAUGCAAUUGCAUCACUCAAAGAUGAUCCCGCGUUGUAUUAGCUAGUUGGUGAGGUAAAGGCUCACCAAGGCGAUGGUACAUAGCCGACCUGAGAGGGUGAUCGGCCACAUUGGGACUGAGACACGGCCCAAACUCCUACGGGAGGCAGCAGUAGGGAAUCUUCGGCAAUGGACGAAAGGCUGACCGAGCAACGCCGCGUGAGUGAAGAAGGUUUUCGGAUCGUAAAACUCUGUUGGUAGAGAAGAACGUUGGUGAGAGUGGAAAGCUCAUCAAGUGACGGUAACUACCCAGAAAGGGACGGCUAACUACGUG